rnacentral:lncRNA from 1 species
GUUACCUGCUGAGGCGGCAUUGGGCAUGGAGCAUCCGAGGGUCCAAGCUUUCCCCUGAGAGGCCUCACACUUGAACUUAGAGGAAGAGUGAGUGGCCCUGGAGCUGGGCCUUCCAGUAGGAGCAGGGUUUCUGCAGGGAAGCAGAGAGAGGAGCCCGGGAGAAGGCACACGGGUUCUUCUCAGCCACCGUCAACAACCCCAGCUGCUACCAAGCCAUUUUUCCCUUAGGGUGAGUGGGCCUGUGAAACCAGGAGAGCGCUGCUGUGCGUCUAGUCGUCGGGGGCAUAUUGAUCGAUUUAUUUGACCCUCUGCAGGAGGUGUGCUGAAUGUCCCAUUCCCCGGUGCUGCCAGCUCCUCAGAGCUCUGUAGGUUACCCCGUGAGACCUUCUCCCUGCACGCCUUUUUUUCUCUAAUAGAAAUACCUGCUACCUGUUGCCUUCUUCCCUGCAGGAUCACAAGCGCUUGCCCAGUGCCUGGCAUAGAGGCGGCCAUAGCUGGACUCCUACCCUGUUCCAGGCACUGAACCUUCAUUUGCCCUGAGACGUCAGGGUGGUCUUAGGACCAUGUUUCCAGGGAGGACACAGAGGCACAGGGGCAUGAGGACCCUGCCCUGGGUGGUGGCAGAGCUGGGAUUUGAACCCGGGUUUGCAUGACUCCCAGCCCUGUUCCUGUCCUCUCAGGGGCUGCACCCUCCCCCUGCCCCUUCCUCCUCCCCCUCCUACCAGGCAGGGCUGAGCCAGACUGGGGUUCCAAAGCCCUUCCUCCUUCUCGAUCCAGAGAUAAAUAUUUGUUUCUCCAGUGUAAAUAGCCCUUCGUGUUUAAUGAGGCAAUCCUAGGGCCAUUUCCUGGCACGGCUCAGGGCCUGGAGGUCUUUCUCGCUCUGGGAGGAACAGUCCUAGGAGGAGAGCCGCUGAGGAGGGGCUCAGGGCCUCUGAGAAAAUCCUUCCAUUUACAGAUGAGGAAACUGCCGCUCAGAGACGGCAGCCGACCCAGCCAAGGCCGCACAGCCAGGAUUCAAAGCCAUACCGCUCAGCUCCUGCCUCCAGGCUCUGCCUUUGCAUGUGGCUUCUCCUGGCUCCUGGACCCUUCCCCGGCCCUCCCAGCUGGCUGUGCUGUGACAGUGGGCGGGGGAGUGCCAAGGCUCUGCCCUGCCCCCCGCCCUUGGCAUCUCCGGUCAAUAUGGCACUCACAGCUCCCUGGGCAUGGACCCCCUCCUGCCAUCCCCACUUAAAGUGAUACUUUAAUAAAUUAUGCUUUUAUGUUA